rnacentral:rRNA from 1 species
GACGAACGUUGGCGGCGUGCUUAAUACAUGCAAGUCAACUGAAGCAGUGGUAGCAAUAUCGCUGUGGAGGUGGCGCACGGGUGAGUAACACGUAGGUAAUCUGCCUUCAGGUCUGGCAUAACUCCGGGAAACCGGGGCUAAUAGCAGAUGAUGCAGCGGCUCGACAUCGAGACAGUUGUUAAAGCUAUGGCGCCUGAAGAUGAGCCUGCGUCUGAUUAGCUAGUUGGCGGGGUAACGGCCCACCAAGGCAACGAUCAGUAGCUGGUCUGAGAGGAUGAUCAGCCACACUGGAACUGAGACACGGUCCAGACUCCUACGGGAGGCAGCAGUAAGGAAUAUUGCUCAAUGGGAGAAAUCCUGAAGCAGCAACGCCGCGUGAGGGACGAAGGGCUUUUGCUUGUAAACCUCUGUAGUGAGAGAAAAAAAUCCCAAUCUUUGGGACAUGAUGGUAUCUCAAAAGCAAGCCCCGGCUAACUACGUG